GAGAUAAACUGGGCUUGGGGGCAGAGCAGCCACAGAGGAGGACUCACUGCAAAAUGGAGUCUCUGUCCCAGCUUCUCUUUGGGCUCUUGAUGCUUUGGGUCCCAGUUUCCAGGGGAGAAAUUGUGCUGACCCAGUCUCCAGCCUUGGUGUCUGUGAGCCCAGGAGAGAGAGUCACCAUCAGCUGCAAGGCCAGUCAGAGUGUCGUACACAGUAAUGGAAAUACUUACCUAUACUGGCUCCAACAGAAACCCGGCCAGUCUCCUCAGCGACUCAUUUACAGGGUUUCCAACCUGCACUCCGGAGUCCCCGCCCGCUUCAGUGGCAGUGGUGCUGGGAAGGAUUUCACCCUCACAAUCAGCAGUCUGGAGGCUGAAGAUGCAGCAGUCUAUUACUGUUAUCAAGGAUCUUAUUCUCCUCCCACAGUGUUACAGCCCCGAACAAAAACCUCCCCAGGCCUGGGCUGGCUGCUCAGGGAGCCCCAGCUGCCUCCCCUCCUUCCUCUGCUGCAGCAGCUGCUGGGGGCCUGCUCAGGGGCAGGGUCUCUGGGGCUGAUGAGAUAAAAGGGACUCGGGGCUCAGGGGAAAGGCCACGGUCUGAGAGCUCGGUGCUCUGGGGACUCUUGCUCCUCUUCAGCCAUGAGUAAAAUCAUAAAAAAAAGAACCCUUGGCUCAGAUUGGGUCACCCCACAAUCCCCUGAGCCUCAGUCAUUCUCCCAUUCCUAUUUUAUCUGACUCCCAACUGAGCAAGAACCAAAGAGAAACCAGAGAUCUCUGGCCAGAGAGUCUUCUUGAAGUGGGUUGGGAUCUCUUUAAGAAACUGUAUUUCCAAUUGAUCUGUGAUUCCUUUCAGAUUCCCAGCCCAUCCUGGCUAAGGCAUAUCCUCCCCAGACAAGUUGUCUUUCCAGGAUGCCAGAGCCUUUGAUUCAAUUACAAAUCCUGGUCAAAAAGCAUCCCUUUGAAUUCCAAUAGGAGAUCCGGGCUCUCCCAGCCCCCACUGGGUCUGAGCCAACUUGGACUGUCCCCACUAAGACACUCAAUAUAAAAGAGCCAAACUAAAAGCCUCUCUUUGCAGAGGUUCCAAACAUGCCAGCUAUGCCAUACUUGGGAUGCCAAGAAGCCUCUGUCCACUGGAAUAUUCUUUUCCAGUCACCCUCUCUUUACCCUCACCUAUUUCCCUAACCAGACUUUAUACCUCUCUGUCAGGAUUUCUUACCUUACUUCCAAUCCCCAUAAUAGACCUCUUUCAUCAAUCUAGGUUUUCGGGUCUGUAAAUUCCUUUACAGAGAGCCUCUGCACCGCCAGAAGAGAAUCCCCAAAACUCCCCACCCUUGCACCAAAUCCCAAGAGGUUGCAGGGGAGCCAAACCUCUCCAUUUGGUUCCUUGAACCUUGAACCUGCCACUAGACCUUAUCAUUUAAGGUCCUGACCACCAGAAACCCUAAUUUCAUUUUGUUUCCCUAAAUCUAAACCUGUUAUUGCAAACAGAACUGAAGGCUACAGUUGCAAGAUAUUAGAUAAAGAUUUAACAUGAUUUAAUCUCUGGGUAAAUUAGAACUUUCCAGCCAGAGGCUGAAAAAGUCAGAAGGUGGGAUGGGGGUUUCUGGUUAGAGUCUAUAUAAUUCUAUGUUUACAGUUUGCACUUUGCACUCCUCUACCGACACCUUGUCUGUUGGGAGUUGUUCUUUCUCAGGAAAUCGUAAUAAAUCCCUUUUUGCCAUUUCUUA